UACGUAGGGGGCUAGCGUUAUCCGGAAUUACUGGGCGUAAAGGGUGCGUAGGUGGUUUCUUAAGUCAGAGGUGAAAGGCUACGGCUCAACCGUAGUAUGCCUUUGAAACUGGGGAACUUGAGUGCAGGAGAGGAGAGUGGAAUUCCUAGUGUAGCGGUGAAAUGCGUAGAUAUUAGGAGGAACACCAGUUGCGAAGGCGGCUCUCUGGACUGUAACUGACACUGAGGCACGAAAGCGUGGGGAGCAAACAGG
rnacentral:rRNA from 1 species